CAGCAGCCGCGGUAAUACGUAGGGUGCAAGCGUUAAUCGGAAUUACUGGGCGUAAAGCGCACGCAGGCGGUUUGUUAAGUCAGAUGUGAAAUCCCCGAGCUUAACUUGGGAACUGCAUUUGAAACUGGCAAGCUAGAGUCUUGUAGAGGGGGGUAGAAUUCCAGGUGUAGCGGUGAAAUGCGUAGAGAUCUGGAGGAAUACCGGUGGCGAAGGCGGCCCCCUGGACAAAGACUGACGCUCAGGUGCGAAAGCGUGGGGAGCAAACAGGAUUAGAUACCCCUGUAGUCCCUGUCUCUUAUAC
rnacentral:rRNA from 1 species